UGGAUUGCUUGACUUUCUCCCCUAGC
rnacentral:piRNA from 1 species